rnacentral:lncRNA from 1 species
GGAAUUCACUGCUUUUUAACUCAAUUUUCAUAAGCCAGUGUUGCUCACAUCUGGGAUAAAGGGGCUAACCUGAUUCUGAAUGAAGGGAUACAGAAAUGACCAGCUGAUUUGGAGAGAUGUGGAGUCUGAUCUGUCAGUCCACAGUGCAACAACAAAUGUGAAGGACAGGAGUGUGAAACUGCUUCAGAACCUCUUUCCAAGAUGGCUUAUACAUUUGCUACCAUAA